GGAGGUGUGUUGGAGCCUUUUCAUUGCCGUCUUAACGGUGAUAACAUCAACAGUUUGUGGUCUGAAUCAUGUCUGCAAUGUCGGAGGUGUGUUUUGGAGUCUUGUGAUUGCCGUCGUAAUGGUGAUGACAUCUACAGAAGCCAUUCCCUCCGGACUGUACAUUACUGCUGACGCUCUCCACUAAAACACAGAGGUUGACGUUUGAGGAGGAGGAGGAAAGGGUUAGCAAUAUACCAUUAUCAAUAUAGCAAAAUUUUGCUAACUAAUAUUUUAAAUGUUGUUUCAUUUAUUAAAAACUAUAAACACCAUACAACAUCAUAUCUUACAUCAUCUUUACCCCUCAUGUCGUUGUUGUUAGUAACAAGUUCUGUUAUUGUAUUUUAUUUCUGUGAACUAUAAUAUCACUAAAAGGCUGCUGUGACUUUGUCUGUUUCA